rnacentral:tRNA from 1 species
GGUAGGAUGGCUGAACACUUAGGCGUGGGGCUGUAAACCCCAAUAUGGGGAGAGUCCCCUCCUGUCA